UGUGACCAGCGGAGGGAUCAUU
rnacentral:rRNA from 2 species